CAACAGGGAUUGCCUUAGUAACGGCGAGUGAAGCGGCAACAGCUCAAAUUUGAAAUCUGGCCCUUGGGUCCGAAUUGUAAUUUGUAGAGGAUGAUUUUGGUGCGGUAUCUUCCGAGUUCCUUGGAACAGGACGCCUUAGAGGGUGAGAGCCCCGUACGGUUGAAUGCCUAGCCUUUGUAAAUCUCCUUCGACGAGUCGAGUAGUUUGGGAAUGCUGCUCUAAAUGGGAGGUAAAUUUCUUCUAAAGCUAAAUAUUGGCCAGAGACCGAUAGCGCACAAGUAGAGUGAUCGAAAGAUGAAAAGCACUUUGAAAAGAGGGUUAAAUAGCACGUGAAAUUGUUGAAAGGGAAGGAUUUGUGACCAGACUUUUUCUGGGCGGAUCAUCCGGGGUUCUCUCCGGUGCACUUCGCCCAGUAAAGGCCAGCAUCGAUUUUCGGCGGCGGAUAAAAGCAGUGGGAAUGUGGCUCCUUACGGGGAGUGUUAUAGCCCAUUGUAUAAUACGCUGCUGGGGAUCGAGGUACGCGCUUCUGCAAGGAUGCUGGCGUAAUGGUUAUCAAUCA
rnacentral:rRNA from 1 species